GAUGAACGCUGGCGGCGUGCCUAAUACAUGCAAGUCGAGCGAAUGGAUUAAGAGCUUGCUCUUAUGAAGUUAGCGGCGGACGGGUGAGUAACACGUGGGUAACCUGCCCAUAAGACUGGGAUAACUCCGGGAAACCGGGGCUAAUACCGGAUAACAUUUUGAACCGCAUGGUUCGAAAUUGAAAGGCGGCUUCGGCUGUCACUUAUGGAUGGACCCGCGUCGCAUUAGCUAGUUGGUGAGGUAACGGCUCACCAAGGUAACGAUUCGUGGCCGACCUGAGAGGGUGAUCGGCCACACUGGGUCUGAGACGCGGCCCAGACUUCUACGGGAGGCAGCAGUAGGGAAUCUUCCGCAAUGGACGAAAGUCUGAGGUAGCAACGCCGCGGGUGUGAUGAAGGCUUUCGGGUCGUAAAACUCUGUUGUCAGGGAAGAACAAGUGCUAGUGGAAUAAGCUGGCACCUUGACGGUACCUAACCAGAAAGCCACCGCUAGCUACGUGGCAGCAGCCGCAGUAA
rnacentral:rRNA from 1 species